rnacentral:rRNA from 1 species
GACGUAGGAGGCGAGCGUUAUCCGGAUUCACUGGGCGUAAAGCGCGUGUAGGCGGCUCGGCAAGUCGGUUGUGAAAGCCCCUGGCUCAACUGGGGGAGGUCAACCGAGACUGGCGGGCUUGAGGGUCAGAGAGGAAGGCGGAAUUCCCGGUGUAGCGGUGGAAUGCGUAGAGAUCGGGAGGAACACCAGUGGCGAAGGCGGCCUUCUGGCUGACCUCUGACGCUGAGACGCGAAAGCGUGGGUAGCAAACGGG